GGCUAGUCCAAGUUCAGUGAUGUUUACAACUAAUUGAUUAUUAACCAGUUACAGAUUUCUGUUUCUUCUCCACUCCCACUGCUUCACUUGACUACCCUAAA
rnacentral:Y_RNA from 1 species